rnacentral:rRNA from 1 species
UACGGAGGGUGCGAGCGUUGUCCGGAAUCAUUGGGCGUAAAGGGCGCGUAGGUGGCGGGACAAGCGUGCGGUGAAAGCUCGGGGCUCAACCCCGAGUCGGCCGUGCGAACUGUUUUGCUUGAGCACUGUAGAGGCAGGCGGAAUUCCUGGUGUAGCGGUGAAAUGCGCAGAUAUCAGGAAGAACACCAAUGGCGAAGGCGCUCUGCUAGGCCGCAACUGACACUGAGGGACGAAAGCUAGGGGAGCGAAUGGG